CAUUGUAUUAGAUUCAGUGAAGGGUUUCCUAAAAUAUUGAGACAUUUGAUCUCAAAUCCAGAAAGAAGAAGAAGAAAAAAGAUGGCGGUAAUGGAGAGAUUGAAAAUGUUCGUAGUACAAGAGCCAGUAGUGGCUGCUUCUUGUCUAAUCUCUGGUUUUGAUUCGAGCUUCACUGCUAUGGAAAAACAAAUUCUUCUAAUAGUGGUUUUUGCAGUUGCUGUUCUCAACAGAAGCGUGACUUAGCUCACUCGGUUGAGUCAUGCCUUUAAUUUCCUUCCUGCAUUUGUUAGGCCAAUGCUUUAUUCCUUUGAAUCAUCAAAGCAAGUCCCUCCACCUGAUGUGGUUACUGGUGUAACUGGGAAGAACAAGGGUAACUUCCCGGUCAGGUUUUCGCAUUAAAAAGCCUAUUGUACUCUUAUUUACACUCCCUUUUUGUUCAUUCUGAUCCGGAAACGAAAAUAAGAUCUUCAUUUGUGUGUAACUAUUAAUGAUUUAGUAUUGGAGCUGUUUGAAUUCAGAAAUUGCCAUCAUUUGAUUAGCCAGUAAAUGCAAUGUAAGAGGCUUUUCAUCAUUUGAA